rnacentral:rRNA from 1 species
GACGAACGCUGGCGGCGUGCUUAACACAUGCAAGUCGAACGAUGAAGCCGGAGCUUGCUCCGGUGAAUUAGUGGCGAACGGGUGAGUAACACGUGAGUAACCUGCCCUUGACUCUGGGAUAACUGCGGGAAACUGUAGCUAAUACCGGAUACGACCCUCGGAGGCAUCUCCUGGGGGUGGAAAGAAUUUCGGUCAAGGAUGGACUCGCGGCCUAUCAGCUAGUUGGUGGGGUAAAGGCUCACCAAGGCGACGACGGGUAGCCGGCCUGAGAGGGUGACCGGCCACACUGGGACUGAGACACGGCCCAGACUCCUACGGGAGGCGGCAGUGGGGAAUAUUGCACAAUGGGCGCAAGCCUGAUGCAGCAGCGCCGCGUGAGGGAUGACGGCCUUCGGGUUGUAAACCUCUUUUAGUAGGGAAGAAGCGAAAGUGACGGUACCUGCAGAAAAAGCACCGGCUAUCUACGUGCCAGCCGCCGCCGUAA